ensembl:lncRNA
UUCCGGCAUGGAAGAGAAAUUGUCCAAGCCAUGUCUCCGAAGUCACGAAGAGGCGACGGAUGGCCUGGAUUGCCGCUAUCAGAAGACCUAAUAUAACGUUCGAAAACACUCCACCUCACAUGUUAGUCUGCUCCAAGCAUUUCCACAAAGAGUUUUUGCUGACAGGUGUGAGAGGAGACGGCCCAGAGUCAAAAACAUUAGAUAUUAAGUACGUUUUGAUCGGAGGUGGGAUCGGCCUGUUGUUAGUUGCUGUAUUCAUUAUAACAAAGAUCUGCAUUAUUAGGAAGCAAAUGUCAACAUGAGAAGAUUUUCAGAGCCUCAGUUGCACUCUUUGAGCCAUCUCAGCCAAUCAGAACGCUCCGAUGCAGCGGUGUCCAGAGGCGUGUGAUGACAGAGGUCUGGCACAGUGACGAGCCUGAUGCUGUAACCCUGCAAAAAGUGAAACAUCAACCUGGUGGCCUUUUUUUGUUCUUUUGUUUUUUUUGUUUUUCAGUGUUGGAAUUGUUGCAGAAUUUCAACAUUGAGUUUUACCUCUUUUACUUUCUCUGUAACAUUUGUUAUAAUUGUGUUCAUAAAAAAAUAUCUAAAGAAGACUUGCUUUGUGC